UGCUGGUACAACUCUUCGCUUUACUUUUAACGUGCUUCGCCGUUCGGAGAACGCUGGUGCCGGGAUGGUGUAGGCAGGGUGUGGACUGCAACUACCAUCGUCCCCAGCCGGCUGGGGAAGAUGGGGCCCGCCACCUCCCCAAAAGGGAGCUAGAAAUGGGUCUCGAUCGCCUUCGGAGUAAGGAGGUAGAGAAUUGGCGGCGACAUCUUCGGAAUAACGGAGUUGGAAGGGACCUUAGAGGUCGUCUAGCCCAACCCCGCUGCUCAAGCAGGAGAGACCGAUACCAUUCUGAACAAAUGGCUAUGCAGUCUCUUCUUCCAAGACCUCCGCGAUGGAGCACCCACAACUUCCUCAAGCCAAGCUGUUCCACUGGCUAAGAAGCCUCCACUUGAUCAGAGGGACAUGAUGCUGGCUCUUCAACACAUGUUUAGAAUGAGCUCUGAAAGGUAUUGGCCAAAAUGAAGAUGUUUUGUCCUGAACUUUACAAAGGAGCUGAGAGGCCAUGAUGUCCAACUCCCAACCAGGCAGAUGGAGCAGCAUCAUGGACGCAAGCGGCGGGAAUGAGAUGAGACUUAGUUCUGAGAAGUUUCCAAGGAGUCUGGCCUCCAUUCUUCCUUCAGGGACCUUCCUCUUCAGUUUCACUUCAGAGAGGCUCCAAUUCAGCAUCUCUUUGGGUCACUUGGGUUCUUUUCUCCAGCCUCCAUAUGCACUUUUGGAGAAUCGUCACUUGGGAAAUGUGAUUUUGAGUGAGCCAGGUUCUGAGCCUCCUUGAGAGCACUGGCUUGGUUUGUAGAACACGCUCCUUUGUCAGCUGAGCUUAGUGGAGGAUAUUCAGGUAAUCCUCGAGUUAAGAAUGUAAUAGAGCCUGCCAGUUACAUUGGUAACACAAACAUUUGUUUGAAUCACGUUAAAUGAAUGUGAUCACUCCCUGCUUUCCCGAAUGCAUUUGUUAAUCGAAUGUGCAGGUCAUUAAAUGCACAUGAGGUAUCUCAGAGUGGGGAAGAGAUGUGGGGCCUCCAAUGGGAUGGGGGUACUGACUACGUAGCUUGUAACGUUCACUAAGGGGACGCCAGAGAUUACGUAUACAGAGCAGCAUAGUUGUCUGAAGACAGAGGCGCCUCCAGGUGUAUUGCAAAUAUUGAAUCCUCCGGGUGCAGCUCUAAAAGCAGCCUGAAAGGGAAACAGUGGCUGAUCCAUCCCUUACUCAUCCGGCUUGGGUUUAUUGUCCUUCCUCAAAUAUAAAUUCUGGAAUUAAAUCCAUUGUUCUAGUGGCCAAUGCAAAACGGAACGGAAAUAGGAUUAUGAAGAAGUUGCAAAUAAAUGUUUUUUCCUCAAAUCGGAAUGGCCUCUUUGUUUACAAUGACUCCUGCAAGUUUUGAUUCUGCCCAGUGCUUCUCCUACCUGGGCUGCUUUCUAGGUCGGGGGAGGGCAAUGGCAAUGGUUUGCAAUGGCUUCCAUGAAUGUGGCUGGCUCACACGAUGCGGACUGCCCCCUGCUCCCCAGGAUGGAAAUACGGAUGCUGGGUUUUUCUCUGCCCAGCACAGGUUGCCAGGGCCUGGACAGCUCAGUCCCCGAAAAGGGGGAGAGCAGGCACCUCCCCAAAACAGCUUGUCCCUCCUUUGCCCCUAAAAUGCCUUUUGGCUGUAAGCAAGGAAUUUUCCAAGAGUCUUGACAAGCUCAUCCCCCAAUAGUUGGUUUGUUUAUUAGGUUUU